rnacentral:lncRNA from 1 species
CUAGGCGACUGGUGUGGAUUGGUGUUGAUGAGAUGUGGCUUCCAGCGUUGCCCGACUCAGACCUGUUUCCAGUCUGGAUGGAGCGGACCGGUCGACUGUGUGGGAUGGGGUGAAAGGAACAAGUGAAACUCAACAGCUAAGGAGAAAAUGAAGAACUAGUUCCACGUUCUUUUUGCUCCGAGGUUGACAUGGCAUUUGGCCUUUCUACCUGGAGAAAAUCAAGAGUAUGUAACUUUCCCUGCAGAUGGUCUGUCUGUAAGAGCUGACACAGGAACCUUUGGGAGCCAGUAUCUAUUUUGUUUCCGACUGCAAAGUUCCAGCCAAUGAUUUGGAGGGGGGCCUGCACCUUCUGCUGGGAGCUAGUCUGGGAGGGAACAACUCAUUCCUGAGUUCUCUUUCGCAAACAUAUCUCUUGUUUAUUAAAAUAAUAGUAAUAAAAAUAAGAAUAAUAAUUAAAA